AAACAUGAGAGUUUGAUCCUGGCUCAGGAUGAACGCUGGCGGCGUGCUUAACACAUGCAAGUCGAACGAAGCUGCUUAACUGAUCUUCUUCGGAAUUGAUGUUUUGUAGACUGAGUGGCGGACGGGUGAGUAACGCGUGGGUAACCUGCCCUGUACAGGGGGAUAACAGUUAGAAAUGACUGCUAAUACCGCA
rnacentral:rRNA from 1 species